rnacentral:rRNA from 1 species
AUUGAACGCUGGCGGCAUGCCUAACACAUGCCAGUCGAGCGGAUGAAGGGAGCUUGCUCCUGGAUUCAGCGGCGGACGGGUGAGUAAUGCCUAGGAAUCUGCCUGGUAGUGGGGGAUAACGUCCUGAAACGGGCGCUAAUACCGCAUACGUCCUGAGUGAGAAAGUGGGGGAUCUUCGGACCUCACGCUAUCAGAUGAGCCUGGGUCGGAUUAGCUAGUUGGUGGGGUAGAGGCCUACCAAGGCGACGAGCCGUUACUGGUCUGAGAGGAUGAUCAGUCACACAGGAAGUGAGAGAGGGUCCAGCCUGCCACGGGAGGCAGGAGGGGGGAAUAGUGGAUAAUGGGUGAGAGCAUGACUGAUCCAGCGCGGGCGUGUGAAGGAGGUCUGCGGAUGGGAAAGCACUUUCUUUUGGGAGGAAGGGAAGUAAGUUAAUACCUUGGUGUUUUGACGUUACCAAGAGAAGAAGCACCGGCUAACUUCGUG